rnacentral:rRNA from 1 species
CGUUUAGGGGUAAACCUGAGAAACCCGAAAGGUCGAAGGGAGAAAUUCAUUCGCGUUUCGCGGUCGGCGUGAGACGGUCGUGUGACGGAAAACGUUCGCGUUUUCCGCACCUUUCGUUUUUCGAUCCGAUAGCGAACGCGUGCACUUUUCUCCUGGUAGGACGUCGCGAUCCGUUGGGUGUCGGUCUACGGCUCGUGGUGGAGCCCGAACGUACGGCUUGCCGUCACGUUCGGACCCACGUGUCCCGGCUGACUCGCUCGACGGUAUACGAAAGGUUUAAGGCCGCUAUUCUAUAGCGUUCGGCUUGUCGCAAGCGCGUCAGAUGUGUCGGCGAUCGGACCUAGUGCCGGUUCUGACCUCUGGCGACUGUUGGCGGCGAAGUUCUCGAACAGACCUUUUAACCGAUCUGCGACGCUAUAGCUUUGGGUACUUUCAGGACCCGUCUUGAAACACGGACCAAGGAGUCUAGCAUGUGCGCGAGUCAUUGGGAAUCACUAAACCUAAAGGCGCAAUGAAAGUAAAGGUCCGCCUCGCGCGGACUGAGGGAGGACGAGCGGUUUACCCUUAAAAGUGGCCGUUCCGCACUCCCGGGGCGUCUCAUUCUCAUCGCGAGAAGAGGCGCACCAAGAGCGUACACGCUGGGACCCGAAAGAUGGUGAACUAUGCCUGGUCAGGACGAAGUCAGGGGAAACCCUGAUGGAGGUCCGUAGCGAUUCUGACGUGCAAAUCGAUCGUCGGAACUGGGUAUAGGGGCGAAAGACUAAUCGAACCAUC